rnacentral:rRNA from 1 species
UACAGAGGGUGCGAGCGUUAAUCGGAAUUACUGGGCGUAAAGCGCGCGUAGGCGGCUUUUCAAGUCGAUUGUGAAAUCCCCGGGCUUAACCUGGGAACUGCAGUCGAGACUGUCUAGCUAGAGUAUGGGAGAGGGAAGUGGAAUUUCAGGUGUAGCGGUGAAAUGCGUAGAUAUCUGAAGGAAUACCGGUGGCGAAGGCGGCAUCCUGGACCGACAUUGACGCUGAGGAGCGAAAGCUAGGGGAGCAAACAGGG